UAGCAGCACAUCAUGGUUUGCAUGAUCUUGUAAAGAUGCUAAUCAUUAUUUGCUGCUUUA
rnacentral:pre_miRNA from 1 species